CCCUCCCCGCCUACGGGAGGCAGCAGUGGGGAAUAUUGGACAAUGGGCGCAAGCCUGAUCCAGCCAUACCGCGUGGGUGAAGAAGGCCUUCGGGUUGUAAAGCCCUUUUGUUGGGAAAGAAAUCCAGCUGGUUAAUACCCGGUUGGGAUGACGGUACCCAAAGAAUAAGCACCGGCUAACUUCGUGCCAGCAGCCGCGGUAAUACGAAGGGUGCAAGCGUUACUCGGAAUUACUGGGCGUAAAGCGUGCGUAGGUGGUCGUUUAAGUCCGUUGUGAAAGCCCUGGGCUCAACCUGGGAACUGCAGUGGAUACUGGACGACUAGAGUGUGGUAGAGGGUAGCGGAAUUCCUGGUGUAGCAGUGAAAUGCGUAGAGAUCAGGAGGAACAUCCAUGGCGAAGGCAGCUACCUGGACCAACACUGACACUGAGGCACGAAAGCGUGGGGAGCAAACAGGAUUAGAUACCCUGGUAGUCCACGCCCUAAACGAUGCGAACUGGAUGUUGGGUGCAAUUUGGCACGCAGUAUCGAAGCUAACGCG
rnacentral:rRNA from 1 species